CUGGGCAGGCAAAGUGAAGUGCAAAAUACAGGUGGCUUAAAUCUCUGAGCUCCAAUUUCCCCUUAUCUGUGAAAUGGAAGGAACCCACAUAGAUUGACUUCUCAGUUUGUGGCGAGGAUUACAUGAACUACUAUGCUUAUAAGCAAAAAUAGAGUCUUUGCCGCCGCGCCGGCGAGCGCCGCCCGGGAGGCAGCGGCUGGAGGAGCGGACGGGCCCCGCGGGGCCCGAGGGCAAGGAGCAGCCGCCU
rnacentral:lncRNA from 1 species